GAUGAACGCUGACAGAAUGCUUAACACAUGCAAGUCUACUUGAUCCUUCGGGUAAUGGUGGCGGACGGGUGAGUAACGCGUAAAGAACUUGCCCUGCAGUCUGGGACAACAUUUGGAAACGAAUGCUAAUACCGGAUAUUAUGUGAGUUUCGCAUGAAAUUCAUAUGAAAGCUAUAUGCGCUGCAGGAGAGCUUUGCGUCCUAUUAGCUAGUUGGUGAGGUAACGGCUCACCAAGGCGAUGAUAGGUAGCCGGCCUGAGAGGGUGAACGGCCACAAGGGGACUGAGACACGGCCCUUACUCCUACGGGAGGCAGCAGUGGGGAAUAUUGGACAAUGGACCAAAAGUCUGAUCCAGCAAUUCUGUGUGCACGAUGAAGUUUUUCGGAAUGUAAAGUGCUUUCAGUUGGGACGAAGUAAGUGACGGUACCAACAGAAGAAGCGACGGCUAAAUACGUGCCAGCAGCCGCGGUAAUACGUAUGUCGCAAGCGUUAUCCGGAUUUAUUGGGCGUAAAGCGCGUCUAGGCGGUUUGGUAAGUCUGAUGUGAAAAUGCGGGGCUCAACUCCGUAUUGCGUUGGAAACUGCCAAACUAGAGUACUGGAGAGGUGGGCGGAACUACAAGUGUAGAGGUGAAAUUCGUAGAUAUUUGUAGGAAUGCCGAUGGGGAAGCCAGCCCACUGGACAGAUACUGACGCUAAAGCGCGAAAGCGUGGGUAGCAAACAGG
rnacentral:rRNA from 1 species